rnacentral:lncRNA from 1 species
AUCGAUGUAAUGUUCUCUUAUUUAAUAAAUCUUAUUUUACCCGCAUUUUUUUUUUGUUUGGUUGUUUUCUCUCUUUUAUGAUUGUACCAGAUUUGUCACGCCCCGGGGUCCCUUUUCAGUUUAAAACAAAGCGGAAAAACGUCUGAAUUUUUUUUUUUUUUUUGAAAACCUGACCCCAGAGUACGCCAGAUCCGCCACAAAUAUAGGGAAUCCACUGUUCACACGGACAGAGUCUCCCCUGUAUUUGCACGGCGUCGAUCAAAUACACAGUACAACCAGGAUACAACCACAACCAGAUGAAUAUAAAGAUAACUAUACAUUCAUACAUUCACCAUUCACAUCACAGUUUUACAUUCAAGGUUUAAACAGAAAUCCACAAAAAUCUUUUGAAAACUGUUUCCUACACAGAAACCUUUAUUCUUUUAAAAACGCUACCACGAGGGGUAGAAAACCUUUUAUUUUACAAAAUCCAGAAAUCCACAUUUUCAAAUGUAAAUAAAUACUGAACCACAUAAACCAACUAAACUAUAUAACAACAGAAAUACCAAGGAUAAUAACUAAAUCGAAAUAACCUGGGUCGGAAGCUCUAUCGACCGCUACACACGUACCUCACGUCUCGUCCCACUACUCAUCGCCCGCGAUACCUGAAAAAUGGUGGGGGAGGUGAGAACAUGUAAACAUGUCUCCCCUCCCAGUGGGUACCGCAAGCCGAAGAAGGCGAGGAGUACUCACCGGAUCAGGAAGAGAGCUAUACAAC